UCGAGGAUCUUUUGCAAUGCGCGAAAGCGUGACAAUGCGACGCCGUGUGAGCGAUGAAGGUCUUCGGAUUGUAAAGCUCUGUCAGAUCGGAUGAAAUCCGGCUUUCUAACAAAUAGUCGGUUUGACGUUACGAUCAGAGGAAGCCACGGCUAACUCCGUGCCAGCAGCCGCGGUAAUACGGAGGUGGCGAGCGUUGUUCGGAUUUAUUGGGUGUAAAGGGUUUGUAGGUGUCCUGCUAAGUCUUUCUUUAAAUCCUAUGGCUCAACCAUAGAUAAGGGGAAGAAACUGACGGGAUUGAGUAUUGGAGAGGGAGGCGGAAUUCCCGGUGUAAGGGUGAAAUCUGUAGAUAUCGGGAGGAACACCAGUGGCGAAAGCGGCCUCCUGGCCAAAUACUGACACUGAAAAACGAAAGCAAGGGGAGCAAACA
rnacentral:rRNA from 1 species